GCCUAGGGUGGGGGUCAGGGAGGGCUUUCUGGAAGAGAAGGCCGCGGCCCAACCCAGCACUCACUGGAAGACUCAGGGACCGAGCAGAGAGGGGCUGAGGGCACUGUCACUUCUGUAAACAGCACCCUUACCCCCAGUGUCAUAAGCCCACCCAUCUCUGUUUCAGCUAGGCUCUGGGGGGGGGGGCACCCAGCGAGGGCAAGGCACAGCCCUCCCCUGUGGGGGGCACCCAGGGCGGGGCUGGGCGAGGGAGGCAAUCAUACCGUCCUUCCUCCAGGAGAUCUUAGGGAAGGGGACGCCCCGACAUUCACAGGACAGCCUGGCGGGGUGCCCUUCGGUCACGGUCAGGAUGCGGGGUUCCCUCGAGGGGAACACAGGAGGCACUGGGGGAGAACAGAGAGGCGUAUGAGGUGACAGACCGGAGGCUGGUGUGGUCGAGACACUGCCUGAGGCGGCCCAGCCAGGAGGAGGUGGAACUGAGAUUUAAAUCCAGGCUGCGGUCCCCAUAGUCCCAGGCCCUCAUUGACCCUUCCCUUGUUGGGCCAGAGGCCCGACGAAGGGCUCCCAUCCCCAAAGGCCAGGAGGCUUUGGAAGAAGGAGUAAAAAACAGGUGAAAUGCGAGAGGCUCGGCUUUGUGGGGACCGAGCGAGGCCCCUGCAGCAGCUCCUGCCCAGGUCAGGAGAAUGUGCCCCGGGCGCUGGGUCACGCUGAGCUGCACUGAUCUCGUAGGGCACCCCCCCAGGCCCUGCCCUGCACACCUCCAGCAAGGCCUUGUCUGUGGAGAGGUGGACGCCGAGCCGCGGCUCCAGGGGGCGGCCGUCUUUCUUCCAGGUCAGCACGGGAGGGGGCACAGCUUGGCUUCGGCACUCCAGGGCCACGGAUUCGUUGGCCACGACGGACACGUUCACCUCUUCCCCGAGGAUGCUUGGGGGCACUGCGGGAGGGGGCAGGAGAGGGGUCUCAGGCACGUGGGUGGGGCCGGCAGGACGCCAGGCCCGGGGUCAGGCCCGGCCACUUCCGGCAGCCAGGAGCAAACAGCAGGGCAUGGGGGGGGGGGUCAGUGCUGGGAGGGGGCCUCCGACCCGAGCUGUGGCCUCUCAUCCUCCCCGCAAGGACCUUCCCAGUCCUGCUCCAAGAGGAGGCCCCCAAAUCUGAGCAGGAUGGUGACGCACAGCCACGUCGAUACCCCCACGUGUGGCUGUGUGCUUUACAAGAGGAUUCUGGCGAGGGACACUGGGCAGAGGGGACCCAGGAUCUCUCUGUACUAAUCCUUACAAGUGCAUGUGAAUUUACGAUGAUCUCAAAUUCUUUUAGAAACAUGGUGUCUUGGGGCCCCCGGGUGGCUCGACUGGUUAAGGGUCCGACUCUUGGUUUCGGCUCGGGACACAAUCUCACGGUUUUGUGGAUUCCAGCCCCAUGUGGGGCUCUAGUUACCCCUUUGAUCGAGGACCGUGAGAACAUCCGAUUCCUGACUCGGCCCGGGGUUCUCCCUGCCGCGUCGUGUUCCUUCCACCUGUUCCCUGAACACGAGCUCCUGGCUGUGCGGGCCACUCACCUGCCUCCCUGUCUGCGACGGGGGAGCAGCUCACCCCCAACUGACGCCCCCACGAAGGCAGCCACGGUCUCAGACCGGCGCGCCCCCUCCGCCACCCCGCUUUGGACGUGGUUUCGGGAGGGACGCCCCCAGCCCCACCUUCUUGAGCCCCCGGCUGGGCCCAGGCAGCAUCCCGAGCCUGAGACUCACUGUGGACGUACAGGAUGACGUCCCGACGGUCCUCGCCCACUGCACUCACGGCCACACACGAGUAGCUGCCAGAGUCGGAGGCCCGGGCGCUGGCCAGGGUGAGGACCCGGCCCCCAGGGAAGACCUGUGUCCCCAGAAGGAAGCCCACAUCAAGCUACGCACGGCAGCACCCACACGUUCCCAUGCUGGCCCUGCUGCUGGGCACCCCUGGGCAGCCUGCCCCAGACCCCAGAGCCCCCCCACAAUGCGGGGGAGCCGUGCGCUGUCCCCAGGCCUCGGGACCUCCGCCGGCUGGUGGACGAGUUACAUCGGUGCUCCCUCUAGAGCCGGGCUGUGGCUACAGAGCCCUUGAAAUGGGGCUGAACCCCAAGGGGACAAGACACAACGGACUGCAAAGAGUUGCAACAAAAAGAAACCCUGGGAAAUGCCUUAAUAAUUUCCAUACUGAUCAUGGAUUUUUUGGCCGGAUCAGCUUAACUAAAAUGUUUUACUGAAACCGCUUUCGUGCAUUUCUCGUUA